rnacentral:rRNA from 1 species
AUACGGAGGAUCCGAGCGUUAUCCGGAUUUAUUGGGUUUAAAGGGUGCGCAGGCGGCCAUUUAAGUCAGCGGUUAAAUCGUGGGGCUCAACCCCAUUCUGCCGUUGAUACUGGGUGGCUUGAUUGCGGUCGAGGUUGGCGGAAUUCGUUGUGUAGCGGUGAAAUGCAUAGAUAUGACGAAGAACACCGAUUGCGUAGGCAGCUGACCAGAACGCAAAUGACGCUCAUGCACGAAAGUGCGGGGAUCGAACAGGAUUAGAUACCCUGGUAGUCCGCACAGUAAACGAUGAAUACUUGUUUUCGGCGAUAUAAUGUCGGAGGCAAAGCGAAAGCGAUAAGUAUUCCACCUGGGGAGUACGCCGGCAACGGUGAAACUCAAAGGAAUUGACGGGG